UUUUAUUAUGCUGGGAGGGCAUAUCCGCCGAAUUUAAGCAUAUAAUUAAGCGGAAGAAAAGAAAAUAACAAUGAUUCCUUUAGUAACGGCGAGUGAACAAGGAAAAGCUCAAAAGGAAAAUCCGCUUUGUGGUUAAAACCGCAGUGUGGAAUUGUCUGGUUGGGAUUUAGUCCUUUCUAUGUUUUUGUUGGGUGCGAAAUUAGUAGGAAUACUAUUCCUUAGAGGGUGAAAGGCCCGUAGUUCCUAACAAUUAUAGAUGGACUGUUUCCUGUAGAGUCGUGUUCUUUGAGAUUGGAGCACAAAUGUGUGUGAUACAUUUCACAUAAAGCUAAAUAUUUGUAGGAGACCGAUAGCAAACAAGUACCGUGAGGGAAAGAUGAAAUAGUACUCAGGAAUGAGGUUUAAAUAGUACCUGAAAUCGUUAAGAUGGAACGGAUUGAGAGAGAAAUAACGUAAGAUGGGAUUUAUUUCUAUGUUUCUUUUGGAUUCAUGUUUUAAUUUCUAUCUUAUUAAAAGGAGCAUCAGUGAAUUUUUGCAUUUGCAUUAUAGUUAAAGGGUUAUUUUUGCUUAUGUAAAGAUAUCGCAUUUCCUUCCGCUAAUAUGGUUGGAAAAAUAACUAUUAUUGCUUGCUAUGUUUACUGAGGAUAUCAAUUAGCUGGGGUUGCCCCUGUUAAUUUAUGUUGCUUCUAAAAAGUACUUUCUUAACCCACUCGUCUUGAAACACGGACCAAGGAGUCUAACAAAUGUGCGAGCGUAUAUAUGUUACGAACUAUAACAGAGAAUGAAAAUUCUUAUAUUUACGCGUAAUUAAUGUAAUUAAUUGGUAGAUCUUUAGGGUGUUUCCCUAAUUUGCAUACCAUGCCGGUUGGCGAUUAUGCUUAAUUGAGUAUGAGUAUAUUUGUUAGGACCCGAGAGGCUUUGAACUAAGCGUGAUGAGAUUGAAGUCAGACGAAAGUCUGAUGGAGGAUCGAAUUGAUACUGAC
rnacentral:rRNA from 1 species